rnacentral:tRNA from 1 species
UCCGGCGUAGCUCAAUGGUAGAGCGCUUGGCUGUUAACCAGGAUGUUACAGGUUCGAGCCCUGUCGCCGGAG